CCAGUGAUGGCCUAGUGGUAGAGUAACUAUACCCACCAAGCAGUAGAUGCAGGUUCAAGUCCUGCUGGUUGCA
rnacentral:tRNA from 1 species